rnacentral:lncRNA from 1 species
ACUCGCAGGGCUCUCACUGCUCGCGGUGCGGCAGCCGCGCGCGGACUCCGCUGCGCCUCCGAGGGGGCCAGGCACGCGGUCAAGAUCUGUGGCCACUGGUUCCCAUGGUUUCGAGGCACCAUGAGGCUCGCUGGCUCCUGGAAACUUUGGCUUUGGGCAGCACUUCUCCUGCUUCCUGCUUCCACUUCCGUGACGGUUAGGGACAAGCCAGAAAAGCAGUGUCCUGUACUGAGAACAGAGGAGCAUCAGUUUACACAAGACAAUGGAGAUAAACUUGAAGUUUCAGGUUUUGACCUAGGAGAGAGUUUUUCUAUGAGACGUGUGUUUUGUGAAGGUGAUAAAACCUGUUUCAAAUUGGGAAGUUCUCUUCUUAUUAGAGACACCAUGUUGAACUUCACCAACUUAAAAUCUACUGUGACUUGAACUUCAUAGCUCAAGAAACUUGUUGUGAGAUGUCAGACACUAAGUGCCCAGAGCAGGUUGGCUUUGGAAGUACUGCAUCUUUAUCAGUACCUGCGUAUGCCAGUCGAAUGUCUGCAUUUCUGCCAGCAAAGCAGGAACUAACAGACCAGUGCCAGUGUAUUCCAGAGAAGGGAGAAGCAGGAUUACAGGGAGCUCCAGGCUCACCGGGCCAGAAAGGAGACAAAGGACAGCAGGUAAGACACCAUCCAGUGCUGUCAGGAUGCAAGAGGAUUUGUCCAAAAGUGACUUUAAACUUGUGUCCAGCUCAUUUUUCUAGUCCCAUAUAAAUGCACAUUUCCAUAAAAAAGGCUGUCAAGGGCUGUAUUUAAGUGCUGUGCUGACCACUGAAAUAAAGAAGACUGAUAUCAGCAUGCAAGUCUGCUUUGGAGAAUCCUAUUGAAGGCUGGCCUAAAAUAUGGAAAGAUUAGGAAAUCUAGAUCUUUGUACCUGUUAAACCACAAGCAAAACCGCAAAGCAAGAAAGUUUGUUUUUCAGCGGUGUUGUAGCUUUCUUUAGCAUUCUCUUCUCCAAAUGCUUGAUGAACUUCUGAUGCUCUUGUCUGCUGAUAGGUCUCCACUGAAGAUUUUUCCUUACCCUUUAUUCAGGGGUGUAAACACCUUUGUUGAACACUUUCUCUGCGUAAGGCCUAGUGUUGGGUGUUAGAGGGGGUAGACAGAAGGGGAUCCAUUCCCUUUUCUCCAUGAUUUUAAAUCUGGGAGAAGACAGAAGACCUUAUCAGACCGCAUGUGUUAGGUGCUGUAGGAGCAUUUCAGGGGUCCUCAGGGAACUGUCUGGGGAGACUGGGGAGAGUUUCCUGGAGGAGAUGGUAAGUGACAGGACCUGUGAGAAUCUGAUUCUAGCCAGUAUCCACACCUAGAGACUGCCUUUCCCUUCUCCCUAUCCCUUUUAUAACUGAACUAUUCAGUUCCCCACUCUUUUGAGUCAUGUCUUUUUUUCAACCAGUUUUUUUUUUUAAUUGAAGUACAGUCAGUUUACAGUGUUGUGUUAGCCUCAGGUGCACAGCAAAGUGACUGAAUUAUACAGGCAUAUAUAUUCUUUUUUCAGAUUCUUUUUUUUUUUAAUAUCCAGCAGAUACUCAUUUUUUUAUUUUAAUGAUUUUUAUUUUUUUCCAUUGUGAGAUUCUUUUCCAUUAUAGUUUAUUACAAGACAUUGGAUGUAGUUCCCUGUGCUAUACAGUAGGUCCUUGUUAGUGUUCUAUUUUAUAUAUAGUAAUAUGUAUCUGUUAAUCCCAAACAUGUAUCUUCCCACCUCCUCUAUCCCCUCUAGUAACCAUAAGUUUGUUUUCUAUGAGUCAUGUCUCUUGUUAGCUCACUAGGUAGAUUAAUUUCUGCCAAGGUUAGAGUUGGUUAUGUUCUUACUAUCUUUCCAAGGUAAAAUAGUUUAAAUUCUUUUCAUGCCUUAACUUGGAAAUCCAAAGCUUUAAAUUGUUUAUAUAAUCUACAUGGACUCCUUAUUUUAAAAGGCUCAUAAGCAGAUUAAUUUAUGCCAAGAUUAGGAGUUGAUUAUAUCUUUCCAUGGAAGAUACAAUAGUAGACUUUCCUUUGGGAUCAUAGACCAAGAAUGGAGAGUUCCCUGGUGGCCUAGUGAUUAAGGAUUCAGCUUUGUCACUGCUAAGUUACCUGAAGUUCCCAUGGAAAAUAAAGAACUCAUAGAAAACAAACUUAUUAAGCACCUCAGUGGCUUCUGCUUGAGAGGAACUGUUUGGGGUAGGAUGGGUGUUUAUUUUUAAAGGCUGAGAAAUGACUGAUUUCACCAAGCUGCACAACAAGCUUCAACCAAGCCAUUCUUGGUUGGGUUCUUUUUUGGCCAAACCCACAACAUACAGAAGUUCCCAGGCCAGGGCUCAAACAUCAUCCACCUUAUAAACAAUAAUAUUCAGUAUUAUUUAUGUGUGGUCUUUGGUCAGGUUACUUCCACUUGUAAUAUCUUAUUUUGUCCUUAUCACCUAAGAAUGUAAAUCUAAUAUUUGUAUCCUCAUUUUGCAACUGAGAGAACCGUGCUUUCAAAAUCAUUAUAAUACUGAAGUGCACUUUUUAUUAUGUGAAAGCUUAAAAUAAUUGAGCAAUAUCUAGUUCUAAAGACUAUUUUUAUUAAUUAAUUAAUUAAUUUAUUUAUUUAUUGGCCCUGCACUCAGCAUGCAGAAGUUCUGAGGCCAGGGUUCUAAAGGCUAUUUAAAUCAAACUAAACAUUAAAAAUUACAGCAAUCUGGAGUUCCCAUCAUGGCGCAGUGGUUAAUGAAUCUGACUAGCAUCCACAAGGACGCAGGUUUAAUCCCUGGCCUUACUCAGUGGGUUAAGGAUCUGGCAUUUCCGUGUGCUGUGGUAUAGGUUGCAGACUCAUCUUGGAUCCUGUGUUGCUGUGGCUGUGGCAUAGGCCGGCAGCUAUAGCUCCAGUCUGACCCGUAGCCUGGGAAACUCUAUAUGCCAUGGUUGCGGCCCUAAAAAGAAAAAAAAAAAAA